rnacentral:rRNA from 1 species
CAGUCGCCACGGGAAUACGCAGGUGGCAAGCGUUGUCCGGAAUUAUUGGGCGUAAAGGGCUCGCAGGCGGUUUCUUAAGUCUGAUGUGAAAGCCCCCGGCUCAACCGGGGAGGGUCAUUGGAAACUGGGAAACUUGAGUGCAGAAGAGGAGAGUGGAAUUCCACGUGUAGCGGUGAAAUGCGUAGAGAUGUGGAGGAACACCAGUGGCGAAGGCGACUCUCUGGUCUGUAACUGACGCUGAGGAGCGAAAGCGUGGGGAGCGAACAGGAUUAGAUACCCCUGUAGUCCCUGUCUCUUAUAC